rnacentral:rRNA from 1 species
UACGUAGGGGGCGAGCGUUGUCCGAAGUUACUGGGCGUAAAGCGCGCGUAGGCGGUUCUUUAAGUCCGGCGUGAAAGGUUCAGGGCUCAACCCGAACAGUGCGCUGGAGACUGGAGAGCUUGAGGACGGGAGAGGGAAGCGGAAUUCCGGGUGUAGCGGUGAAAUGCGUAGAUAUCCGGAGGAACACCGAUGGCGAAGGCAGCUUCCUGGCCCGUAUCUGACGCUGAGGUGCGAAAGCGUGGGGAGCGAACGGG